CCUACGGGCGGCAGCAGUAGGGAAUAUUGCUCAAUGGGAGAAAUCCUGAAGCAGCAAUGCCGCGUGGAGGACGAAGGCUUUCCGAUUGUUAACUCCUUUUUUUAGCGAGGAUAAUUACGGUAUGUACCGAGUAUUGAACGGCUACCUCGGUGCAAGCAGCCGCGGUAAUACGGAGGAUGCCAGCGUUACUCGGAUUCUCUGGGCGUAAUGGGCGCGUAGGCGGGUUAGCAAGUCAGAUGUGAAAUCCUGUGGCUUAACCAUAGAGCUGCAUUUGAAACUGUUAUUCUAGAGUAUGGGAGAGGUAGGUGGAAUGCGUGGUGUAGGGGUGAAAUGCGUAGAGAUCA
rnacentral:rRNA from 1 species